ACUCCUACGGGAGGCAGCAGUAGGGAAUAUUGGGCAAUGGACGAGAGUCUGACCCAGCCAUGCCGCGUGCAGGAUGAAGGCUUUCUGAGUCGUAAACUGCUUUUGCCAGGGAAGAAAAAGAGGGAUGCGUCCUUCACUGACGGUACCUGGUGAAUAAACACCGGCUAACUCCGUGCCAGCAGCCGCGGUAAUACGGAGGGUGCAAGCGU
rnacentral:rRNA from 1 species